GACGGAGGAUGCCAGCGGUAUCCGGAAUGAUUGGGCGUAAAGCGUUCGUAGGCGGCGGUUCAAGUCUGCUGUCAAAGACCGGUGCUUAACGCUAGAAAGGCAGUGGAAACUGGCCGGCUGGAGUGCAGUAUGGGUAGUGGGAAUUCCCCGUGUAGCGGUGAAAUGCGUAGAUAUUGGGAAGAACACCGGUGGCGAAAGCGCUCUGCUGGACUGCAACUGACACUGAGGGACGAAAGCUAGGGGAGCGGAAGGG
rnacentral:rRNA from 1 species